rnacentral:lncRNA from 1 species
CUUGAAAAGGUCACCGAAAAAAUAGUAAGUAUCUAGGUCCAUAAAGUUUCCUGUACAUUUUCCUAUGCUAGUUAUAUUGUGGUAUUUGGUAUUUGUAUUUAAAUCAAAUGGUAUGUCCUUUCUCAGGAUGAUGUUAAAAAGGCCUUGGCAACUGAAGGUGAGGAGGCUGCUAAUAAAUUGGUUUAUGGUGAAAAAGAACACAGCCCCUCCUACCUGAUUGGGAGGCUGAUUCAAAAGAAGGAACCAAAGUCUAAGGCAUCAGCAGCUCCAGCUCAACCUCCAGAUGAGUACGUGAACCAACUAACUGCUAAAAUCAAGGCACAACUGCAGCAAGAGAUGGAGGAGAAAUUUGACCAGAAACUCCAAGACAUGAUGAAAUUAUUGGCUGAGAAGAAUCCAAGCUUAAACAUUAAUGUCA